rnacentral:rRNA from 1 species
UGAGGAAUAUUGGUCAAUGGACGAAAGUCUGAACCAGCCAAGUAGCGUGCAGGAUGACGGCCCUCUGGGUUGUAAACUGCUUUUAGUUGGGAAUAAAAAGAGGGACGUGUCCCUUAUUGUAUGUACCAUCAGAAAAAGGACCGGCUAAUUCCGUGCCAGCAGCCGCGGUAAUACGGAAGGUUCAGGCGUUAUUCGGAUUUAUUGGGUUUAAAGGGAGCGCAGGCGGCGGCGUAAGUCAGUUGUGAAAUCGUGCGGCUUAACCGUGCAAUUGCAGUUGAUACUGCGUCGCUUGAGUGCACACAGGGAUGUUGGAAUUCAUGGUGUAGCGGUGAAAUGCUUAGAUAUCAUGAAGAACUCCGAUCGCGAAGGCAUAUGUCCGGAGUGCAACUGACGCUGAGGCUCGAAAGUGUGGGUAUCAAACA